UUCUUCCAGGGCUUUAAAAAGGUUUCGACCCCGAGAAAUGUCUUUAACUCUUCCGAGAACUAUUUAAUAGUUGUCCUGGAUGUUUUCAACAAGAGAAGGAUGCAGAUGGCUCUGCGCAGGCAGAACAGCCCAGGAAGGAGGAAUGAAGACAAAUUAAAGAGGAAAUCUAUGGGGAAAUGCGUGGCCAUAUAUGAUGAAGCAUGAAUCCUCCAGCACUUACUCUGGGAGAGCACACCCCCUUUCCCCCAUGCCCCCUGCUGUGCCUAUGGAAGUCCCCAGGUGCCCCUGCCAGGUGAGCCACGCAUUCGCCAGCAGCAGGAGUCCACCACUGCAGCAGCCCGAGGUCACAUUCAGAAAGCCUGUUCUUCCAGAAGAGCCUCCCAAGGCAAAGGCGGUUGGAACCGCGUUCACUUGCCCCAAGCGCGAAGGGGAGAUCUCAACCAACGGACAAGCAUUUUGCAGGAGGAGCUGUGGAGCUGGGCAGUGGAUCUGGGCAGAUCCCUGGUGCCAG